rnacentral:rRNA from 1 species
UACAGAGGAGCCAAGCGUUGUCCGGAUUGACUGGGCGUAAAGCGCACGCAGGCGGACGCGCGCGUGGGGUGUGAAAUCUGGCCGCUUAACGGCCAGGGGCCAUCCCAUACGGCGCGUCUGGAGCGCUGCAGAGGUCGGUGGAAUUGCCGGUGUAGUGGUGAAAUGCGCAGAUAUCAGGAGGAACACCGAUUGCGAAGGCAGCUCGCUGGAACGUUACUGACGCUGAGACGCGAAAGCGUGGGGAGCAAACAGG